rnacentral:rRNA from 1 species
AGAGUUUGAUCAUGGCUCAGGACGAACGCUGGCGGCGUGCCUAAUACAUGCAAGUUGAACGAUGAUUUCUGGUACUUGUAUCAGAAUGAAGAGUAGCGAACGGGUGAGUAACGCGUGGGUAACCUACCUCUUAGCGGGGGACAACUAUUGGAAACGAUAGCUAAUACCGCAUAACAAUGCUUAACACAUGUUAAGCAUUUGAAAGUACCAAUUGGUACACUAGGAGAUGGACCCGCGUUGUAUUAGCUAGUUGGUAGUGUAAUGGACUACCAAGGCGAUGAUACAUAGCCGACCUGAGAGGGUGAUCGGCCACAUUGGGACUGAGACACGGCCCAAACUCCUACGGGAGGCAGCAGUAGGGAAUCUUCGGCAAUGGACGAAAGUCUGACCGAGCAACGCCGCGUGAGUGAAGAAGGUUUUCGGAUCGUAAAACUCUGUUGUUAGAGAAGAACGUUGUGUAGAGUGGAAAAUUACACAAGUGACGGUAUCUAACCAGAAAGGGACGGCUAACUACGUGCCAGCAGCCGCGGUAAUACGUAGGUCCCGAGCGUUGUCCGGAUUUAUUGGGCGUAAAGCGAGCGCAGGUGGUUUAAUAAGUCUGAUGUAAAAGGCAGUGGCUCAACCAUUGUGUGCAUUGGAAACUGUUAGACUUGAGUGCAGUAGAGGAGAGUGGAAUUCCAUGUGUAGCGGUGAAAUGCGUAGAUAUAUGGAGGAACACCGGUGGCGAAAGCGGCUCUCUGGACUGUAACUGACACUGAGGCUCGAAAGCGUGGGUAGCAAACAGGAUUAGAUACCCUGGUAGUCCACGCCGUAAACGAUGAGUGCUAGUUGUUUGGGGCUAUCCAGCCCUAAGUGACGCAGCAACGCAUUAAGCACUCCGCCUGGGGAGUACGACCGCAAGUUGAAACUCAAAGGAAUUGACGGGGCCCGCACAAGCGGUGGAGCAUGUGGUUUAUUCGAGCACGCGAGACCUUACCAGGUCUGACAUACCAGUGCUAUCUAGAGAUAGAGCUACUCGUUAACCUGAAUCAGUGGUGCAUGGAUGUCGUCAGCUCAGGUCCUGGAAUGCUAGCCUAAGUCCGCAACGAGGCAACCCAUCUAGUGCAUCAUUAGUUGGCACCUCUUAAG